AACUACCUGAGUUGCGUAUGAUUACCUGCUGAACUUAAGCAUAUCAGUAAGCAGAGGAAAAGAAACGUAAACGGAUUCCCUGAGUAACUGCGAGUGAAA
rnacentral:rRNA from 1 species